rnacentral:lncRNA from 1 species
UUUAAUUUCCUUACUACUUUGAAGUCAUUACUCACAUGUACAUCCAUUUUGUGAUGUCCUAUACCAGGACUGUUCCCUGGAUCUGUGGGAGCGUAAGCAUAAAUAUUUUUCAAUAUUUUUGCUUGAAAAACUUCGAUACCUUCUUUAUGCCCAUCAACAUUAUGUCCCUCCGGUACCGUAGACACAAAGUUAUUCAAUGACAUCACUUUAAAAUGAUUUUUAUUUUCUGUUAUCUCCAACGGUCUUACUACUUUGAAGUCAUUACUCAGCUCUGGUGUAUGUACAUCCAUUUUGUGAUGUCCUAUGCCAGGACUGUUCCCCGGAUCUGUCGGGGCGUAAGCAUAAAUAUUUUUCAAUAUUUUUGCUUGAAAAAGUUCGAUACCUUCCUUAUGCUCAUCAACAUUGUGUCCAACCGGUACCGUAGACACAAAGUUAUUCAAUGACGUGACUUUGAAAUGAUUUUUAUUUUCUGUUAUCUCCAACGGUCUUGCUUCAGUAGUGGAUGGUACUUGGACAAAUAAUAUUGAGAUGGCCAUAAUGGUCAUCAUGGUGAUAGUGAAGAGUUUCAUAGUCUUUCCACUCUGAAGAAGAUACAGGGCUAAAGGUUUUGAUAUGAGCAGUUAUGGUGAUAUUUGGAUUAAGUUGUCCAAAUGAGAUUAUAUUUAUACUGUAUAGACACUAGCCAAAUUGAUUGAGUUUGGAUCGGCCAUUCCCUUUUUUGGUCAAAUACAUUGAUAUUGGGUGGAACACAUUGAUAUUUUCUUGUCAAAAAUCUUGAUUUUUUAUUUUGUUCAACUACACUGAGAUCUCUUACUAUUUUUGGACAUUUUUCAUUUUGGCCAUUGUUUUUUCAAUUAUGGUAGGUAGAUUUUGGACAUUCUAUCUAUCAAUCUAAGCACACUAAUAAUGAUAAUUAAAUAUAUUGUAUAAAUAAUAAAAAAAAUAUAUUAAUGAAUUUCAAAGGCAAUAUUUCAACUGCUUCCAUCAUUUUUCUCCUUUUUAAUUGUUUUUUUUUGUGUGGCUCACAAGAGAGCAAAACACAUCAUACUCACAUUCUAAGCUACACUAGAGAUUGACCCGCACACCCAUACGGGUGUUGAAUUUUAUCUUUUUAUAAAUUGAUAUUCAUUUUUCAUAAUUAAUGUUAAGUAUUUUAUGUGUCACCACCAUAUAAAUAAUUUUAUCUUGGUUAUUUGAAUAUUUUAGGUUCCUAUACAUUAGAAUCAAAUCAAAUAGUAUGAUUAAUUUUCCUUAUUUGGUUAUUUUAGGUUAUUCUUAGUUUUGAUACAAAAUAGCAGAACUGAAUUGGAUAAUAUGGUUACUUUUGGUAUAAAUAUCCAAACUCAUUUCAGAUACAUUAGUGUUUUUAUAAUUUAAUUUCAUAUUUAUUAGAACCAAAUCUAUCCGGACUUGAGAGAACCCAACUCGAAACGCAUCGAAAUUUUAUAAUACUCCAACGAAGUUUAACUUCAAAACUCAAAAAACAUGAUAUCCAGAAAAAUGAUAUGUAACGAAACGGAUACUCAAAUAUACAUACCUAACUAAUUCCGUAAAUAAAUUAAAAAACUCUUUCUUAACCGUUUUAAAUUCUUGUCACAAAUAGAAAAAUUUCAAUCAAACAUGUCAAAUUAUUAUGGUUAACAUGAAAAAUUAAUGUUGUCGAAUUAUUAUAGUAAAAACAAUUAAUGAAAUAGUUAAUAAUAGUGAAAGUGAGAAUGUAAAAAUAUAAUAAAACACUUAAAAUAGGUCAUUCUGUUUCGUAAUUCCGUAAAAAUGCUGUCUGAUUAUUUAGAAAAAAUAAUAAUAAACAAAGUGGUUCUAAUUAGUUAAAAAGAAUGAAAAUCUGUAAGAAAUCACUUAAAAAUAAGAAUGUAUUGUUUGGUAUUUCAGUUUUAAUAGAAUAGAUUAUUAUUAACCAAACUUUCUAACUGGUUAAACCAAACAAAAAUCUAAUUUUAAUCAAACUCGGGUUAUUUAUCCGUUUAUUAUUUUCUUCUUCACUAGAUUUGUGAAAGAAGAACGUGAUCCGCAGGUCGUGUCCAAACAGUUCAAUAGCAGAACGGGUGUGUACAUAUUUAUACAACCUACAAUUUGUUGUGGGACGACCACACAUACCAAAAGAAAAUCAAUUCUAAUAUGGGUUGGAAUACUUGAACGCGGACUAGUACGCUUGAAAUUUCUUAAACCAAGAAUUUAGACGGAAAAAUAGUAAUAUACAAAAUAUAUAUAUAUAUAUAUAUCCAUAAAUAUUUUUUUUUUAAACUCUGAACUGAUUAAAAUAGAAAUGAAAAAUAUAGAAAAACAAGAACAUACAAGACACCAAAAGAAAAUCACAAAUCAUAUCUGUACAAGACAAAUGAGGUUUUAUUGUUCUUUUAGAGACUAGAAUAUAAUUCUAUGAGAAAAAAAAGAAGCAAAUUUUCGAAGCAAAUUUUUAAUACAUUUACAUUUUCGUAAUUUGUAUCAGGUAAUUUCAUAGGUUUAUGGAAGAUCUUUACAUUUUGUUUCUAAAUUAUUUGUAAUUAUUCUUACUUAUUUUAAUUUGUGAACAUAAGUAAAUAAUUGAAAUAAAAAAGAUUAUUGUAAUUUUGAUUUUCUAUUACUUUUUAUUAUUAUUUUUAAGUGAAAGUUUUUCAAAAAAAUACAAAUCGUUUCCACAGAAAAUUCCAUGAUUAUUUUUUUAUGAGUCACAUUCAUUGUAAAUUGAAGGCAAAUUGAAAUGUCUCACAUCUCUAUUCUUCAACUGUCGCAUAAGCUAGUUAGCAAGGGAUUUACCUUUUUCAUUAGCUUUGUCAAAAAAAAAUUUAACAUGCUUGGUAAUGACUUAAGUAUGUGACAUAAGAAAAAUAAUAAUCAUAAGCAUGCCUAAACGAAUAAAAGAAUAGAAGAUUAUAAAAAUCAAUUCCAAGAUCAGAGAACUGAUAAUGACUGUCCUCUGAGUUGGCUCACCAUGACUAGCCCAAGUUUGUUCAUAUGUGUAAUUCCAUUGUGAAAAUAGAAAACAUCGUAGUUUACAAAAAAAAAACACAUAGUCCGAGUUCAAAUAUAUAUUCGUAAUCUCAGCAAACAUAGGGCACAUCACAGGGAAGAGGAAAUAUAAAAUAACAUCAAAGACUAGUUAAGGUUUAAUUUAUUAGAUUUGAGUAUUUAUUUUAAUUAGAUUUAUCAAAAAUAAAUUAAUUAUUGAUGCUAUUACAAAUAAUAGUAAUUGUGAUAGAAAAAAAUAUUUUUAUAGUUUUAUAAAGUGAUAGUAUAAAAGGUGUAUUUCUAACAAAUUAUCUUAACUCAUAUAGUUAUAGAACUCUAAAUAACAACUUUAACAUUUAUCCAAAAUUUAACAUCUUUAUAUUGCAAAUUUUGAUUUAACAACAAAUUUAUUUCAUAAUGAAAAUUCAAGCUAAUGCCCAACAGUAAUUUUAUAUUAUUUUAAUAAAAACAGUUUUACAUCAUAUUAUUUUUAAUGAAUAUUUGCUACUGAUUUCUUAUGUCUUAUGCUAAGAUUAUUCGCUAAACAGUUGGCACAAAAUAUUUUUUUCACUCUUAGUUUUUCUUCAAUUUCCUUACUACUUUGAAGUCAUUACUCAGCUCUGGUGCAUGUACAUCCAUUUUGUGAUGUCCUAUACCAGGACUGUUCCCUGGAUCUGUCGGAGCGUAAGCAUAAAUAUUUUUCAAUAUUUUUGCUUGAAAAACUUCGAUACCUUCCUUAUGCCCAUCAACAUUAUGUCCCUCCGGUACCGUAGACACAAAGUUAUUCAAUGACAUGACUUUGAAAUGAUUUUUAUUUUCUGUUAUCUCCAACGGUCUUACUACUUUGAAGUUAUUACUCAGCUCUGGUGCAUGUACAUCCAUUUUGUGAUGUCCUAUACCAGGACUGUUCCCCGGAUCUGUCGGGGCGUAAGCAUAAAUAUUUUUCAAUAUUUUUUCUUGAAAAACUUCGAUACCUUCCUUAUGCCCAUCAACAUUGUGUCCAACCGGUACCGUAGACACAAAGUUAUUCAAUGACGUGACUUUGAAAUGAUUUUUAUUUUCUGUUAUCUCCAACGGUCUUGCUUCAGUAGUGGAUGGUACUUGGACAAAUACUAUUGAGAUGGCCAUAAUGGUCAUCAUGGUGAUAGUGAAGAGUUUCAUAGUCUUUCCACUCUGAAGAAGAUACAAGGCUAAAGGUUUUGAUAUGAGCAGUUAUGGUGAUAUUUGGAUUAAGUUGUCCAACUGAGAUUAUAUUUAUACUGUAUAGACACUAGCCAAAU